CGGAUGCUCCUGCAAAGCGGAGGUGAGGUUGCCUGGAGACUGAGCCAAGGUCUGAGCAGCCGUGAAAUGACUGCAGUCUCUGCCUACACUGAAGUGAGCUAUUUCUCUUAUAUUUUAUAUAUUGGGCCAUCAAGGCUGGAAUGGAAAGGUGGCCUAGACCCAGCUUCUGUUCAAGGAAAGAUCCUCAGUCUUCCCAUCUCUCGAGUGAGGGACUGGAUCAGAUGAUGAUGUGGCCUCCUUCCAGUUCUCUGGGUCCGUACAUCAAGAGGUGUCUGUUUUCAAUCCAACUACCCAGCAUGUUAAAGCUCCAUCAUGCUUGAGGCUGAAGCAUGAGGAAGAUAUUACUGAGUGGGAGUGAGAAUGUAAGAAUUUGAAAGAAAAGCAUAGAGUCAUUGUGUUUAAGAGUCAUGGCACAUUUGAAUCAAAAUGGAGCUUGGAGAUCUCCAGAGCUACCAGACUCCUUCACACUGUAAACAAUAAAGCUAAAAGAAACUAAUGCAAUCUUACUUUUUUUCUCCCUUGAUAAAAUAUGUUAUUAAA